rnacentral:rRNA from 1 species
AUGAUGGAAUACAGCAGGGAGGCCCAGCAGGCGUCGGAGAUGCGGGUCAGGCCGCCGCCGCCGCUCACCCAUGAGGACAACCGCCGAUUCCUCGAGAUGCUCCGCGAGAAGAAAGAAAGGCUGGGGUUCGGCGCCGAGAAAGUGGAGGUGCGGUUCGAGGAGCUGACCGUGGAGGCCGACGUGCAUGUGGGCCACCGCGCGCUGCCGACGCUGCUUAACUGCGCCGUCAAUGCCGCCCAGAAAUUGGCAACAUGUUCAGACAUGUGUACUACAAGAAAAAAACCCAUCAAAGUCAUAAAUGGAGUGAGCGGGGCAAUUAAUCCAUCACGGAUGACCCUUCUUCUAGGAGCACCAGGUUCCGGGAAAACAACUGUUCUAAAAGCAUUGGCAGGAAAGUUGGAUUCUUCUUUGAAGCUCAAAGGAAAGGUCAUGUAUAAUGGAGAAGAAGUAAAUUCCUCAACACCACAAUACUUGCAUGCAUACAUUAGCCAGUAUGAUCUUCACCAUGCGGAGAUGACCGUUAGAGAGACGAUUGAUUUCUCUUCCAAGAUGUUGGGAACCAAUAAUGAAUUUGGGACGUUGGGACAAGGAAUGAGAAGGAAAAAUGGAGACAUUAAUAAAGUGGACCAAUAUCUCAACACAUCUAUGAAGGCUACUACCUUUGGAGAAGGAAGCAACCUUACAACAAACUAUACUAUCAAGAUGCUUGGUUUGUCCGAGUGUGCUGAUACCCUAGUGGGGGAUGAGUUGAGAAGAGGCAUAUCAGGAGGAAAAAAGAAAAGGGCCACAAUAGGAGAGAUGCUAGUUGGUCUAGCAAGAUGCUUCUUUAUGGACGAUAUUUCAACAGGUCUAGAUAGCUCCACCACAUACGAGAUUGUAAAGUUCCUCCAACAAAUGACUCAUCUGAUGGAUCUCAACAUGGUUAUGUCCUUAUUGCAACCAUCUCCCGAGACGUUGGAAUUAUUUGACGACAUAAUUCUAUUAUGCGAGGGUCAACUUGUAUAUCAUGGUCCUCGAGAAAAUGCUAUUGAUUGUUUUCAAAUGAUGGGAUUCAGAUGCCCCAAUAGGAAGAAUGUAGAUGAUUUCCUUCAAGAGGUGACCUCAAAGAUGGAUCAAAGGCAAUACUGGAUUGGUGAUGAAAAUAUGUAUAAGUACUGGCCAAUAGAAAAUAUAGCAGAAUUCUUCUAUUCAUCUUAUCUCCCUCGACUUGCAGAAAACAAAAUGACAAACAAUAGAGGAAAUGACAGGGAGAUCAAAACAAACGCAAAUCACAAUAUCUCUAUAUGGAAUAUUUUCAAAGCAUGCUUUUCAAGGGAAGUACUGCUUCUCAAAAAAAACUCCCCACUUCAUAUAUUCAAGACUGUACAAAUAAUUAUUCUUGCUUUUGUCAUCUCAACGGUUUUUAUUCGAGGAAAUAUGAAUCAUAAGACUAUACUUGAUGCCAAUAAGUAUAUGGGAUCACUCUUUAUGGCUAUUGUGAUAGCAAACUUCAAUGGCAUGACAGAAAUUGCAAUGACAAUGAAGCGACUACCGACUUUUUACAAGCAAAGAGAGUUACUAGCAUUGCCAGGAUGGGCACUUCUUUCUUCGGUUUACAUCAUCAACCUCCCAAUGUCACUUGUAGAGACGGGUCUCUGA